rnacentral:rRNA from 1 species
UUGNUGCCUUCGCGGAACUCUGGAGAACACCGAUGCUGCNAUAGGCUGUCUGUCAGACUCGUGNUUGUGAAAUGUUGGGUUUAGUUCCCGNCAAGAAGGNCAACCCUUUAUCCUUUUGUGGCAGCGGUCCGGCCGGGAACUCAAAGUGAGUACUGCCAGUGAUAAACUGGAGGAAGGUGGGGAUGACGUCAAGUCAUCAUGGCCCUUACGAGUAGGGCUACACACGUGCUACAAUGGCGCAUACANAGAGAAGCGAACUCGCGAGAGCAAGCGGACCUCAUAAAGUGCGUCGUAUCCGGAUUGGAGUCUGCAACUCGACUCCAUGAAGUCGGAAUCGCUAGUAAUCGUAGAUCAGAAUGCUCACGGUGAAUACUUCCCCGGGUCUGGUACA